AAGGAUUUGAAAUUGUAGGAGUAAAACUUCAAGUUUCAACCAAUUCUAGCACAAAGACUGUUUAUUCAUCAACUUCUAGUUAGUUUGGUUAAAGGGCAGGACAUUACUGACAAUAUUUUUUCAAAUAUCGUCUUUUGAUUGCAGAGGUUUAUUGUGAACUUUCCAAGCAAGCCAAAUGGAGUUAAGAAGGGUCUUUAUAUACAGUUGGAGCGCUUGCUUAUAAAGUGUCCAAUUAUCGGGGUUCUCUCACCUUGGCAGCUUGGCCAAUCAAAUUUGAAGAGAUGAAUUGGCCCAAGUUAGUUCUCCAACCUGAAGAUAAGCUGAUAAUUCCAACGGAAGGAGUGAGGAACUUUAGACUAUUUGCAGAUUUUAGCAACAACAUAAUAUGGAUUACUAGGAACAAGCUUAUGAAUUAACAACAAAGGGAAGUUCUUAAUCUCAUUCUCUUAAUUUUUUAAAUUAAAUAGGUAUACACUGAUCAUGUUUCUUCUUGGGAAUUUGUAGGUGGAGAUUGGAGAAAAAAGUUGCGUAUGUCAAGAUUAAUUUCAACGCUGCAGUUAGAAAGGAAAAGACAUGUAUAGUAGCAGUUGGACCCAGAUAAUAGAGAAUCAAAGCCCCUGGCUGAAGCUCAUGCGGCUCUCUUAGUGAUAACAAUAGCAGCGGAAAUGGGAUAUGGAAAUUGGGUUCGUGAAGGAGACACUCUAAAUAUUAUUAUCUAGUUACAGAACCACUCUUUGGAGCCUGAUUGGUCUAUUGAACAUCUAAUUGAGGAAGCUAGAUACUUUUUCAAUUUUUAUCUGAUUGGGUGUAAAUCACACUUUUAGAGAAACCAAUAUUGUAGCCAAUAAUAUUGCUAAGUGGGCCAUCUUUUGUAAUAUGUCCGGAUUGAUCCCCAUCUCAUCCAUUCCAGACUGUUGCUUUUGUCCUUAGGAUAGAGAUGGAGGUAAAACCCCUCUUUUGCAGCACUUUUCCUCUUUUUAGUUUUGCUCUUUUUUAAUAAAGUAUUUCUAGGCACCAAAAAAAAUAUAGAUAGAAUUAUUGUGGAUCAA